CCUACGGGAGGCAGCAGUGAGGAAUAUUGGUCAAUGGGCGAGAGCCUGAACCAGCCAAGUCGCGUGAGGGAGUACUGCCCUAUGGGUUGUAAACCUCUUUUGUCGGGGAGCAAAAGCCGGACGUGUCCGGCUGUGAGCGUACCCGAAGAAAAAGCAUCGGCUAACUCCGUGCCCGCAGCCGCGGUAAUACGGAGGAUGCGAUCGUUAUCAGGUUUUAUUGGGUUUAAGGGGUUCGUAGGCGGCAUGUAAAGUCAGGUGUUAACGGCGCAGGCUCAACCUGUGUAUGGCACUUGAUACUUGCAAGGUGGAAUGCGGUAGAGGUAAAGGGAAUUCCUGGUGUAGCGGUGAAAUGCUUAGAUAUCAGGAGGAACAUCGGUGGCGUAAGCGCUUUACUGGGCCGUAAUUGACGCUGAGGAACGAAAGCCAGGGUAGCAAAUGGGAUUAGAUACCCGGGUAGUC
rnacentral:rRNA from 1 species